AUCACAAACAACGCCAACCAACUCUACCCUCUCCCAUGCGGUAUCUGCGACGGUGAACAGACCUGGCCAUGUUUAUUGUUUGAACGACGAAUGGCAGCCACGAAAGAGUUCCAUCCAUGAUCACAUCUCGCCCUUCGUUGAGUGCAGUUACUAGCAGGGAUGAUGCUGCAUCUGUAGAUGAUUGGUGCACCUAGAAAAAGUACAAGUGAAGCUGAAAAAUCAUCAUCGUAUUGUCUUGCAAAGGAAGGACAAUGAGAAGUGGGAGAGAUAAAUACCAGUUCAGAAGUGUGAAGCAAGUCAUGGUGCCCCCUAGAGCUCAAGGCUCUGUAGAUGACAUCCGACUCUUUAAAGGCAUCUGCCUCGAUGACAACUGCAUUCCCUGAUGCUCCAGCCCAGAAUGGUCUAUGGUGCAGAUAAACAAACUGUGUUAUUGAAUCACCUCACUACGUACAAUUAGCUCAAAAUAUUUGUUUUGGAAUGUCUCGUUUCUAACUUUCUAUUAUGUACAGCUACACGAGAUUCGCUUACUCUUUGAGAAUGUCCUUGAGCACAGUACUCUUCCCGGCCCCCAUCCCACCACCCAUGAGGAGGAGCACUGGACUUCUGUCGCUAUGAGCCAUUGGUACCAUGACAUUCGUGCACUGUGAAUCGUCGUUUGUCACGAGUCCAAUAGCUUUCAUCUCCUCCACUAAUGUGUUUUUCUAGGAAAUACAUGUUGGAUUGAAUCGAAGCCUGAGAUCGACAUGCCUGGCUGAGCAUAAACGACGUAUGUUUCCAGUGGAACGCAAAGUAGCUGAGGAUGCAUCUUUCGAAUUCUUCCACCAGUUUGAUGAAGAGAGAAUCACAUUCAGGAUCAUUUGCAAAAAACGCGUACAUGUCUUCUUCGCAUCCCUCAGCUUUUUUAAUGUAUUCGGAUGCCAACUUACACAAAUCAAACGAGAUCGAAGAUCCAAAGACGGAGAGGAAGGGGCAGAGAUUUCUUAUUACCUACAUAGUGAGAGAACUUCUCAAUGCUCAAAACCUGGUCGGCAGCGGAGAUUCUCUUCCGAGGUAUGAUCUUCCUGUCGAGUACUUUCCUGAUGCGGUAAUGCAGCGCAGCUGCUAUGAUCAGCCCCACGGAGGAGGCCACAAGGAUCUGCGUAUACGUUGCUUUAGCGCUGCUGUUCAUCUCAUCUGCCGUAGAAUCAAACAUAAUAAUCUAUGAUGGGAAACUAGUUUUUUUGUAGAUCAGUUUUUGCGUAUGUUUUGCCACUAUGCAUCUCUUGCCUAUGGAAGGACAAGAAUGUGUAUUUUUCCUCUGUUUCUUUCUCUUUCUCACUGUGUGUCUGUGUGUGUGUGUGUUUUUCUGUUUAUUUUGUUCCUAUGAAUUUGGAGAUGGAUAUUCAUGAAUGUCUGAAUGUUUCAACUCCUUGUA